rnacentral:rRNA from 1 species
CAGUAGCCGCGGGAAUACGUAGGUGGCAAGCGUUGUCCGGAAUUAUUGGGCGUAAAGCGAGCGCAGGCGGUUAGAUAAGCCUGAAGUUAAAGGCUGUGGCUUAACCAUAGUACGCUUUGGAAACUGUUUAACUUGAGUGCAAGAGGGGAGAGUGGAAUUCCAUGUGUAGCGGUGAAAUGCGUAGAUAUAUGGAGGAACACCGGUGGCGAAAGCGGCUCUCUGGCUUGUAACUGACGCUGAGGCUCGAAAGCGUGGGGAGCAAACAGGAUUAGAUACCCGUGUAGUCCCUGUCUCUUAUACC